rnacentral:rRNA from 1 species
UAGGGAAUCUUCCACAAUGGACGCAAGUCUGAUGGAGCAACGCCGCGUGAGUGAAGAAGGUUUUCGGAUCGUAAAGCUCUGUUAUUGGUGAAGAAAGAUAGAGGUAGUAACUGGCCUUUAUUUGACGGUAAUCAACCAGAAAGUCACGGCUAACUACGUGCCAG